rnacentral:rRNA from 1 species
UUAAUUGAAGAGUUUGAUCAUGGCUCAGAUUGAACGCUGGCGGCAGGCCUAACACAUGCAAGUCGAGCGGUAACAGAAAGUAGCUUGCUACUUUGCUGACGAGCGGCGGACGGGUGAGUAAUGCUUGGGAACAUGCCUUGAGGUGGGGGACAACAGUUGGAAACGACUGCUAAUACCGCAUAAUGUCUACGGACCAAAGGGGGCUUCGGCUCUCGCC